CCAUCAAUAAACUAGGUACUUGGUUGCGUAAUAGACUUGAAGUCACAUAUAAUAGCUUCAUCAAAUAUAACAUUACAUCACAAAGCUAGAUGUUGCGUAAUAGAUACUUGGUCCAUCAUUAAACUAGCUCCUUGGUUGUGUAGUAGACUCAAAGUGUGUCUAAUAUCUUCGACAAAUUUAACAUUACAUAAGUACAAUAAUAUAUUAUCCAAAAGACUUCCAACAAAAUAGACUUACAGUAAUUAAACUAUUCCUACCAACAACAAAACCAUGUUCAUUGUCACAUCAUCCUGAAGCUGCCAUGAAUCCGACAACUAUGUACAAGAGCAUAAUCCACUUUUUCAGCCUCAUUUUAUUCAUCUUAAAUAUACCUGCAACAUAAUUAUUUACAAGAAUAUUUCCUCCCUCCAGUUCAAUCACUCCAUCAUCAUCUUUUUUAUGAAUAUCCAUUACUAAUAUAUUGAUAAGGUCAAUCACCUUCAUCUGCAGAACAAUCUUUUCACGCUUAAGAGCAUCAUUUCUCAUACUUCAAACUACUGAUAAGGUCAGCAAUCCUUGGAUCUAAUAUAUUAUCGUCCUAUUCCCAAAACUGACAUCUUUUACCCAUCGAAUAAAAUGGAAAAAGUAAUUUAUCAAUAAAAUUGAAUCCUUAAAAUUAAAAAACAUGAAUGCAUAAAAUUUAUCUUACCUUAGGUUUGGAACAUUUUGAAAAUCGCUUAGCAACUUUCGCCGGAGUUGUAGCUGUGAAUUGACUGGAAGUCAUGCCGCAGUGACAAUUCUUUCUUGGUCCAAAGGAUGCACUCAACCUUUGGCUCAUUUGUCUUCAAUUGUUUGAGUAUUAUUUUUCAUAAGUAAAAGUUGA
rnacentral:lncRNA from 1 species